UGUUCCCGGGCCUUGUACACACCGCCCGUCAAGCCACGAAAGUCGGCAGUACCCAAAGUCGCUAUCCCAACCGUAAGGAAGGAAGUGCCCAAGGUAAGGCCGGUGAUUGGGGCU
rnacentral:rRNA from 1 species